GACGAACCGUGCGAACGUUGUUCGGAAUCACUGGGCUUAAAGGGCGCGUAGGCGGACCACCAAGUCCGGGGUGAAAUCCUUCGGCUUAACCGGAGAAUUGCCUGGGAUACUGGUGGUCUUGAGGGAGGUAGGGGCACGCGGAACUUCCGGUGGAGCGGUGAAAUGCGUUGAUAUCGUGAGGAAGACCAGUGGCGAAGGCGGGUCUCUGGACAGUUCCUGACACUGAGGCACGAAGGCCAGGGGAGCAAACGGG
rnacentral:rRNA from 1 species